rnacentral:tRNA from 3 species
GCGAGCGUAGUUCAGUGGUAGAACACCAGCUUCCCAAGCUGGUUAUGUGGGUUCGAUUCCCAUCGCUCGCU